rnacentral:rRNA from 1 species
CCUACGGGCGGCAGCAGUGGGGAAUAUUGCACAAUGGGCGCAAGCCUGAUGCAGCCAUGCCGCGUGUGUGAAGAAGGCCUUCGGGUUGUAAAGCACUUUCAGCGGGGAGGAAGGCGGUGAGGUUAAUAACCUCAUCGAUUGACGUUACCCGCAGAAGAAGCACCGGCUAACUCCGUGCCAGCAGCCGCGGUAAUACGGAGGGUGCAAGCGUUAAUCGGAAUUACUGGGCGUAAAGCGCACGCAGGCGGUCUGUCAAGUCGGAUGUGAAAUCCCCGGGCUCAACCUGGGAACUGCAUUCGAAACUGGCAGGCUAGAGUCUUGUAGAGGGGGGUAGAAUUCCAGGUGUAGCGGUGAAAUGCGUAGAGAUCUGGAGGAAUACCGGUGGCGAAGGCGGCCCCCUGGACAAAGACUGACGCUCAGGUGCGAAAGCGUGGGGAGCAAACAGGAGUAGAUACCCCAGUAGUC